AUGUUCCGCGUGUGUCCUGCGCUGCUGCUGGUGUGUGUGAGUGUGUUCGGGCUGUGUGUGUGCGUGUCCGCGGAUCUUCCCAGAGACUUCGGAGUGAAGCUGUGCGGCCGCGAGUUCAUCCGGGCGGUGAUCUUCACCUGCGGCGGCUCCCGGUGGCGGAGAGCGGACACACCGAGCGGUACGUACUACACACUCUAUACAGCACACUACAAAUACAGCACACUAGAUGUGUUCAGCAACACUCCACAAGUGCACAUUCGGCACAUCCCAGUCGCACCCUUAACUGUGAGAGUGCUCUAUUACUGCAUAUACACACACACACACACACACACACACAAUGUGAUGUGCAGUGACCCUGCCGUGUGUCUGAGCCACUUACUGUACUGCAAUCAUGUGGGGUUUUUAGUAAGAUGAGGUGAUUUUAGGAGGGGCACUGCAAUCAGUCUGCUGUGGUGAUUCUACAGCGGCCAUAUAACACUGACAAAUGUGUUCUUCAACAACUAUUUAAAGGCAUUUUACUACAUCCAAAAUGCGUCACUUUAUUUCCAGCAAAUAUGAAACAUCGAGUACAUUUAUAAACUGUUUUAAAACUGUGUGAAUGCAGCUUCUCCAUUUACAAUAAAGAAUAAAAAAUGCUUCAACAUCAAUCAAAAGAGCUGUUUUAUCUGAACAUUUACAACACUUUCCACACAAUCAUCACAGAAACACGAUCUCACAUCUGCAGUAUUACACUUCUCUAAUUUUCACACAAUACCUUUGAACUCACUUAAAAGUGGAUUUAAUUGACUUAAUUUAAAAGUAGAAAUAUAAUUAUGCAUAUUGUGAUGAGAGAUGCAAAUGUCUGAUGAGCUUCACAAACACUGCACAUGCUGGACUGUUGCCUUCUCAUGUGCGGAGAGCAAACGCCACACGGUGCAGAUAUCAAUAAUGAAACUGUGUUUAUCAGAAAAUAGCCACCAAAUGUUUAUUAAAAUGCCCUACAUGUUAGUUUAUAAUGCUGACAGUUUUGUUUUAUCAGUUGUUUUUAUUUACAGAACUUAAUAAUGAACUUUUAUAAGUUUCUUUAUCUGCUUUUAUAUGAUGAUUCAUGUUUUAAUAUGGACAAUUAUUCAUAAAUCACUUUGCCUUUCCAGUCAUGUUUAUUUUCAGAGAUACUGUAAAGAAGAAGGAGUUGUCCGACACUUAUGUACACUGUAGAAUUUCCCCGUAAAUGUACAGUUGAUUUCUGGCCGCUGGGGUGCUGGAAUAAAAGUGUAGAAUCACAGCCGUUACAUUACAGACAUUUACUGUAAAAUUACAGACAUUACAGACAUUUACUGUAAAAUUAUGGACAUUACAGACAUUUACUGUAAAAUUAUGGACAUUACAAAACAUUUGUUGUAAAAUUAUGGACAUUACAAAAGUUUACUGUAAAAUUAUGGACAUUACAGAACAUUUAUACUGUAAAAUUACAGACGUUACAGAACAUUUCUUACAUUUAAAUGUCUGAUAAAUCUCUGUAAUUUAACCUCUGUUAUUUUACCGUAAUUUUACUGUUAUUUUAAUCCAUCUGCUGGAAAUAAACCAUAAAUGUACAGAUUUUGUUUUACAGUGCACCUUCUUAUGAGAACAGGUGUGUAUCUUCAGUUCAGUUGUACCAGAACAGCAUCAUAAGAGCUCUGUUCUGCAACAUAUAAUGUACAACUCUUACAAAGACACACACCUGAUCCUCCAGCAGCAUUAUCUGUUCCACCAUGCACCUUUUAAAUGAGUGUACAGAUAAACAGCUGACCCAGUACUGUAGUUUUCCACAGCUGUAGACUAUAAUAACUAUUACAGUAGACCAUCAUCAUCAGUGACUGCACUGUAAACAAUAAAAUCUGUAGUUUAUUUCCAGCUAAAAUUACAGACUGUAAAAUAACAGGUUGAAUUACAGAAAUGUACAUUGCAGCAGGUUUCUGUCAUAUAAUGUCUGCUAUUUUACAGUAAAUUUCUGUAAUUUAACAGCCGUUAUUUUAGUUUUUGCCGGAAAUAAACUGUAAAAUUACAGAUUUUGUUUACUGUGUGUGUGUGUGUGUGUGUGUGUGUGUGUGUGUGUGUGUGUGUGUGUGUGUGUGUGUGUGUGUGUGUGUGUGUGUGUGUGUGUGUGUGUGCACUGCAGUAAAUGCUUUUCUUACUUAAACUUUGUGUUUUGUUUCGAGUCCAAAUAUCUCACAAUUCUUAAAUCAAGAAGAAUUUUCUACACAAGCAAAACUUAUUGUCUUAUUUUAAUCUGCCAAUGGGGUCAGCAAAAUAAUCUUGUUUUUCCUUUUGACACUUGAUUAUUCUGCUUCCUCCAUUGGCAGAUUAUUUUGCUUGUUUAAGGAAAAACUGACUUCAUUUUGCUUAUUAUUUCUCAAAACAAGACAAUGUGUUUUACUUGUCUAGAAAAUGCUUCUUGAUUUUAGAAUUGUGAGGUAUUUGGACUCGAAACAAGACAAAAAAAUUAGAGGAAAAAAGCUAGAAAAGCAUUUAAUGCAGUGUAACCCCGCCAGCACUGCGCCACCCAACCCGCUCCGAGCUGGCAUCAAACUGGCUUCCUUCCACAUGGGAGUCGGUUGCUUUACCAAGGUGGCCAAAGUCCAUAUCCUCUAUAGUCUGUCGCUAGAGCACCUUUAGAGGUCAGAGGAGUGAGCUUUACCUGCACAGCACUCACUAGCUGACCUCUGUUACUGUAGUAUAGCUGAUAAACUUUACCAUACAUCACUUCAGUAUUGUGUUCAAAACAGCAGAUUUACCAGAACAUGCAGAAUCCAGAACAGGGAAUCUGUCAGUAACAGGAGAGUAGCUCAGACAUCAUCAUCAUCAUCAUCAUCAUCAUCAUCAUCAUCAUCAUCACGGCUGUUCAUUCAUUCAUCAUGUGUCCUGAAGCUGCAGGAGAGCUCUGUCAUGUUGGAGAGAUUUCAGAGGAGACCUGCGUGCAGCUCCACAAUAACCUGAGCUGCAGGUAUCCCGUAUUACUGAUCAGCACUACUGACCAAACAAUGUCUCUGUGUGUGUGUGCAGGUGAGGUGUGGCUGGACCCCCAGCAGGACCCUCUGGAUGGAGCCGGUUCUCCUGAAGUCGGUUCUCCUGAUGCCAGUUCUCCUGGUUCUCAUCGAUGGUCUCUCUCCGGGGUUCUGCAGCUGCUGGCGGGGGCCCGGGUCAAGGCUCCACAGAUCGGGCUGAGGGCGUGGCUGCAGACGCUCUCCUCCUCCUCCUCGGGCCCCGCGUGGCCCCGCCCCGACCGCAGGAAGAGGAACUUCUCGGUGGGUUUGGCGGGAAUGUGCUGCAAUCAGGGCUGCACCAAAAACGACAUCGGCCGGCUGUGCUGA